rnacentral:lncRNA from 1 species
CAGCAACUAUCAUUUUAGAUUGUCCAACUAUGUGAAAAAAAUAUUUGAAUGGCAUCAUACUUAGAACUCUGUAAUUCAAUUCCUUUGCAGAGAAGAUAACAGUUCUUGUUGUAUAAGUUUCCAGUGUUCUAAUCUCUCACUUCUACAGCAACUGAGAUUCUCUUCACUAUAAAGUUCCACUUUUCUUAGGUUCUUAGAUAGUACAUAUAUGGCACUAAAUCUAGUAAAUAUUGGAAGCAAAAAAUAAUUCGUCUUCUAAUUGCAUUUUAAGUCAAGAAAGGUUGAAGGUUCUUUAGUGACUUGCCGAUAAGCUUUGCAGCCUCUUCUGGUGUAUCAACACGACAAGGUGCCUGGAUUUUGUACAUCCAUGAACAAAAACAAAACAGAAAGAAUAAUUUUAGUUUCAAAUAAUAAAAACGCUGGCCCAACAUGUGGCAUGAGUGAAGAUAACCACAAACUUAAGAUGAUCUUCAAUUAUACCAUCAUAAAUGAGUGAAAGUAUACCUGGAAUUUGGUACCAUCUAGACUAAAUUGAGAAAGUGGAGUAACAUUUUGCCUUUGAUAAAUAAUAGAUUACCAAGCCAUUAGAGAUUUGUGGAGAUCUAGAAGGCAAAAAGAAGUUCCGCAUUUCAAUACCUU